UACGUAGGGGGCAAGCGUUGUCCGGAUUUAUUGGGCGUAAAGAGCGUGUAGGCGGCCGUACAGGUCAGCUGUGAAAACUCGAGGCUCAACCUCGAGACGUCGGUUGAAACCGUACGGCUAGAGUCCGGAAGAGGAGAGUGGAAUUCCCGGUGUAGCGGUGAAAUGCGCAGAUAUCGGGAAGAACACCCGUGGCGAAGGCGGCUCUCUGGGGACCACCUGACGCUGAGGCGCGAAAGCGUGGGGAGCGAACCGG
rnacentral:rRNA from 1 species